UACGUAGGGGGCUAGCGUUGUCCGGAAUCAUUGGGCGUAAAGAGCGUGUAGGCGGCCCGGUAAGUCCGCUGUGAAAGUCGGGGGGCUCAACCCUCGAAUGCCGGUGGAUACUGUCGGGCUAGAGUGCGGAAGAGGCGAGUGGAAUUCCUGGUGUAGCGGUGAAAUGCGCAGAUAUCAGGAGGAACACCGAUUGCGAAGGCAGCUCGCUGGGACGUAACUGACGCUGGAGGAGCGAAAGCGUGGGGAGCGAACAGG
rnacentral:rRNA from 1 species